GGAGAGAUGACCGAGUGGUCGAAGGUGCCUGAUUCGAAAUCAGGUGUACCGGCAACGGUACCGUGGGUUCGAAUCCCACUCUCUCCG
rnacentral:tRNA from 2 species